rnacentral:misc_RNA from 1 species
AAGCAAGGAAUUUAUUAUAUUAAAUUCGAUUAUCGAUUUAAUCGAAUUAUUUUUUUAAUGAAAAUAUUAUCUAUUAUGGCAACCCUAAACUACAGACUUGCGUCAUACAUACAUUUGACUUCUAUAUUGCUUUCAUAGUGAUUUAGCAACCUACUGAAAGGUUUUCCGUCAACCGAGAAUUCAUCACUACUGCGAGGUAAAAUACACGGAUGAGGUAGGAGCACGUCUUAUUGGAAGCGGAAGAGAAUUCCAAAGGCGGACAACUUUGGUGGAUCCUAUAAGGCAGUAAGAGAGAUAAAGCUACCGCGCGAUCUGCACAUGCCUGCAGUUUCGGACUUACUCUUUCGCUCGGGCACUCCGCACAGCACAACGGAG